AUGAUGGGAGUGAUGAAAGCAUCGCUAACACGUUAGCUUACGAACGAGUAUUGGGAAAAACUAAAAGACUUGAAAUCGGUUGCUCAAGUUCAAAGAAAUGGGGGAAGGUCCAACUUGUCUUCUACUGGUAGAGAUGAAGAAAUAGGGGCUUUAAAAGAAGAUAAAAGGACGAACAUUUUAGGGCCCAAGGUGUCGAGUUCCAUCCCCAGAAUCCAUCCGGCGAAAGUAACUAGUUUCCUCGACAACAUUAGGUUUGGGUACUUUACUUCAUGUGUG
rnacentral:lncRNA from 1 species